rnacentral:rRNA from 1 species
AGCCUACACAUGCAGUCGAGCGGUAACAGGAGAAAGCUUGCUUUCUUGCUGACGAGCGGCGGACGGGUGAGUAAUGUAUGGGGAUCUGCCCGAUAGAGGGGGAUAACUACUGGAAACGGUGGCUAAUACCGCAUAAUGUCUACGGACCAAAGCAGGGGCUCUUCGGACCUUGCACUAUCGGAUGAACCCAUAUGGGAUUAGCUAGUAGGUGGGGUAAAGGCUCACCUAGGCGACGAUCUCUAGCUGGUCUGAGAGGAUGAUCAGCCA